CCCAGGUCCCAGGAAUCACAGUCCGGCAUCCUGACAUGCUGCUCUUCCUUGCUGAGGAAUGAGAUGAGUUACUGGCAUUUGAAAAACAAGUUAGUGGAGAACAAAGCACGCUUCGCUUCGGCUUUCCCAGGAGUAAUACAUACCCCCAGGCCGUCUGAUUUGGAACCUGUGUACAAGAACUUUGAAGGCCCUGCUAAUCUCAGAAGCUGCUGUACCUUGUUCCAUCCCUGCAGCAUCUCUCUCUGCCUGCCACUGAGGUUCUCACUCCCAUUUUACAGGGUGAAUGGAUGGCACGUGAGACCUGCCCACACCAUCUCAUUAUGAACAGAAGAGGUGCAUCCUGGCAUCCUCUUGCCACAUCAGCUGCACACCCAGAUCACCCACCCUUGGUACUGUUGAUGCCACCUUGGUUUCAUGAGAAAAGAAUCUGAAAUCAAUGCCAAGAAGAAUAAGUGGAGCCCAAGAGGAAGAAACCAAUGUCUGUAUUAUUUGAGCCCCUGGAUCCAGCUGAGACUGUGCUUAUAAAUAUCCUACUUACGGGAGACAAUGCAUUCUCCUUCCUUCACCGAGAUGAUUUGGGUUGUAUUUUCUGUCACUAUUGCUUGAAAAAAGUUCUGAUACAUGAUAUCAGGUGUCACAUUCACAUAACUCUAAAUAAAGGAAAUGUGCUUUUCUGGAAGUAAUUAUA
rnacentral:lncRNA from 1 species